GGAGGUCAGCCACCUCCAGCUGGUGCAAGAAGCCAGCUCUAAGCAGGCUCUUCUGCUUGGGUCCUGCCACUUGCCUCCCUAGCAGGAAUUCUGGUGUUCCCUAUUUGCAAACUGAAAAAUCCCUGAUUAAAAAAAUCCCAAAAUCACUCUGUAAAAUACCCAUAUUCCUCUACAACUGAAACAGAAGACCACUAUAUAGACAGAGAAUGAGAGAGACAGACAGAGAGACAGUGAUCAGUUGGGCAAUGUUUUAUUGAUAUAUCUACAAUUUUUUAAAGCAG